rnacentral:lncRNA from 1 species
AGCUGAGGAUGAUCCUGACAACCUCUCCUGAUCCUUCCUCUUCCCUAGUACUGAGAUUCCAGUACUACACCACCUCAGCCAGCUCUCCACCCCAGCACAUGCACCUUGGAGAAGGCAGCCCCUCUGAAGCACACAGAGACCCUGAGUAGGGGUGAGCUCUUGGGCACCUUCUCCAUGUAAGCCCUUCCCCUGCUCUAGGCCCACAGUGAGGUCAUGAAGGCAGUGCUCUGCCCAAUCCGAGGGCUUCUGACUCCAGAGUCUGAUGUCUCUACCGCACAUGUUCUGGCUGCCCGAGCUGACCUUUCUCGCCUGGUCCCAGCUACCAGUGUGGCUGCCCGACGAGGGACCAGCUGUGCAAUCAACAAGGUGCUUAUGGGUGAUGUGCCAGACCGUGGGGGGCGCCCAAGCGAGCUGGAGGCUCCCAUGCCUACCUGGAAGAGCCGAAGAGAGGAUGGAGGAAGGGGGAAAGCUGGCCAGCAGCGCUGGGGCCGCAGAAAGAAGAAGAAGUAAAGGGCCUUCCAGGGUCGGUUGCAGGUUCUGUUGGGUGCUGACGCCGCUGUCAAUCCUUGGGGGGGCCACUGAGGGUUGUCUUUGGCAAGCCUUGUCUUCCCUGUCCCGCAGGUCCUAAAUGCCCUACACCCAGCCACCACUCCACACCAUGAACCAUGAACUACGAACUGUGUUGUGUGAAAAAUAAAUUUAAUUCUUUUGAUUGUUA